GAAUAUGUGCAUGGCCAAGGGAGACUAAGCCGGGACACUUGGUUUUGCUGCUUUAAUCCCCUGAUCAUGUGCCAUUCUCUGAACCCUGGCUUCCUUUGCUCUCUCUAUUUCAGCUUGUAGAAAUGAAGUCUGGUCUGCAGCACGAAAUCUGGUCACACUGGUGGCCUAAAUGGCGGCCAGGUCUUUCUUCACAUGCAGCAGUGGCACAGCCUUUGCCUAAGGAACUCACUUGGGCUUCUGGUUUCUGACUUGCUAUGAAGGGCCUUGCCAGGUCAGACCAUUCUAUACUGGACUUGCCGUUCUCCAGAACUUUGGAAUUCCCCCAAUUACCCAGUGAGGGCAAUGCCAAGAAAAUGACUGACUUUUGAAGUUUUAUGUAAGAUUCAGAAAAUAAACUGUUUUGAUACAAAGUCCAGCUAGAACAUCACAAUACAUGGCUUUCCUGUCAGGUUGGUAACUGGUUUAAAAACUUCGGCCAGGCACACAAGACCCUGUGUUUGGAUGAACCUAUGGCAUCCCAUUUCACAGAAUCACACAGAUAGUCAGAGACAAGUCUUCCCCGGCUCCACACUCCGGCUGGAUGAUAACCUCACGCCUGUGUUCUGCAGUCAAGGAGGAAGAGGAGCUACUCUUUGCUGUUGUUGUUUGUUUGUUUUGGCAGGACCUAGGCCCUUCCCCAUGUGUCCAGGCUGAGAGAGCAUCCCUCUAUUUGGAAUGAGCUCCCAAAGAUCAUUCUAUGGUUACUAUGGUAAACACCGAUCUACUACCCAAGGCCCCAGUGAUUUCUGUGACCUCCUCACUGAGACUACAUUCAUGGAGUCUGCUUCCAUCAGUCACUGGAUGAAGGUUCUAGGAUGGCAUAUUAAGCAUGGAGGAACUGACUGCAUGGAGGAACAUCUCUGAGGCUCAGGGUCCCCAAAGCCCUUCACAGGUCUCCAGGAUGUGUGGAUGCAAGGACACACCCACAGAGAAGGCUGAAGCCCCCCCCCAAUGGCUCUGCCUCGAGCAUCCCAAAAUCACUGCAGGAGAACCUUGUCAGGCACAGUGGUUCAGUGCUCCCCGAUUGCAGGUCAUUUGUCAAGCUUCUCUGCUGUGGCUCGUUCCCAGCAAACAGCAGCCUGGGAAGGAGGAAGGCAGCCCUUUCCAGAGGCCCAGCGGGGAGGAAGUGCUGUUGACACGAGCCUGAAGUGCAUGGGCCCCCGGGUCAGCUCCCAGGACACGUGGGCGUUCACCCACAGCGCACAGCUCAGGAGGUCCGGAAAUUAGUCGCAUCACGGCAUCCGUGGUGGUAGCUUCUUCUGCCCAGAUGGCCAGGAUGCCGAGCCUGGCUCCCUCAGAAAGAGAGGUCCGAUGUUGUGUUCUCCGCACCCACUUGGUGACUCAUAACCUUCUGCAGCUCCCACAAAUCCUGUGUCAGGGUUUUCAGUGUCCUAUUAUGGCUCUGUGGGUUCUACAUACACGUGCAUGCACACUAACGCAAGCAAAAUAAAAGUUAAAAUCUGUUAAAAAAAAAAGGUAAUGAACAGAAUGUCAGCAAUGAGGAUGGAUGGACUACAGCGAGGAUAUGAGCUCAGCAGUGUCUAUGGAUGGUCAGCAGUGAGGAUGGGAGAUCAAGCACUGAGAAUGGACAGCCUCCAGCAAGAAUGGAUGGUCAACAGGGAGGACGGAUGGUCAACAGGGUAGGGUCUAUUGUGACUGAUGCAAGUCAGCAAUCAGGGCUGGAGGUAUAAUGUGAGGAGACGCUGGGUGGCAUCUUAGAUACCGUGAAGUCACGAGAGGGUCAUCACGUCAAGGUCUUCUUACCCUAGUCACGUUGGGUUCCUAGCAGGUCUUAAAUGUCAGGAGCUCCCAUCCAUCGAGGCAUUUCCACGCAAUGUGGUACGUGGGCGGAGGAAAUUAAAUCGUGUGACCCACAUUCCAGAUGGGGUCUUCUGUAGUUGGCUAGUCCUUUCUGGAGAUAUUCUCACAGGCACCCCGGAGGCACGUUAUUACUCACUUAGUCUUCUCUCAAUGCGAUCAACAUGACAGUCAAAAGUGAUCAUCACAAGGUGUGCGGCUUGAAGCACCAGUGACUAAUUGAAUCAGGCGUUUGUCUUUAAUGGUACCCUAAUAGUACUUCUUGCCACACCAGUAGGACCUAGCUGUCCAACUUGAAGCAGCGAGAUAACCUCUGAGAUCUGAUGUCCUAUACUCAGGCUCUGGUCUGUUACAGACUGUGCAUGAAUUGUCUCCUAAGGGAUUAUGCUCUGAAAGCGUGGUCUCCGGAUGGUAGAUCAUGAAAACUAGCUUCAUCAGUGGACUGAUACAUUGAUGAGUUCAUACGGAAUGGAGGAUGUGGGGUCUGGUUAGAGAAAGUAGGUCCCUGGAGGUGUGUAUCUUUGAAGUGUGUCACUUCUCGUCCCUUUCUACUUCCUGCCUGCUGGGAGAUGAAGUUUUGUUUUGCUUUGUUUUUUUCAUGGCCAUCCAUCAUGAUAAAUGAGGCAGAACAGCCACCGACUGGCCACAGACUGAGAGCGAACCCUCUGAAACCACAAGCCAAAAUAAAUCUUUGUUCCUCCGAGUUAUUUUGAUCUGGCAUUUUGUCACAGUGACAAAAUGGGUUACUAAUGGGGCACAGAGUCGUGUCCAAGGUCAGAAAUGGGAUGGAGCCAGAGUCGGGGCUUUCAGGACACGCUGAGUACUAAUCAUUCUACCACCCUCCCCAGCCAUGCCUCCUGGGGUAGUCAUAACCCCAGGCUCCAUAAAGCCAACUUUCUUUUCAGCAACAUCUCCUACCUAUUUGCCAGUCUCUGUGCUAACUCCCCUGGAUUUUGUGGCCAACGCCUGCUGUGCUGGCUAGGACUGAGAAUCUUUGGGUAUUCAAUUAGGACAGCCGUCAGCCCCUUCCUCAUCGCUGAUCUUUCUGAUUAGACCAUGCACACAGCUGCCCCCUCCUUCAACUGGGACCUGCCCUGGCAUCCUCGCCCAGAUCACUUCUCAGCCCUCUGUUACCUCCAGGAACCAUGCGUGUGCUACGUAUUUUGGGUUCACACUGAUCUUUCUCCUCGCCCAGAUACAGGGUCAGUUAGUUACUCCUGAGAACCCUAUGGCACCGAGAAGACAAUGUCCCUGGACAUCAAUGCCAGGGCUGUGCCCGUGAGUAUGUUGUGACAAAAGAACUUGGGAGGCCACCCUUCUGGCAACGAGUAACAGAGAACGCUUCGCCUUGAGCUCGACCUUCAUAGGGCAGAUAUCUCAUAACACACCAAGGAAGAAGGGCCUCGGGACCCUCUUGAGGUGCCUCCUUUGCUUCCUUCACUUCAAGGCUUGACCUCAGGCCUGGGCCACUUCACGUCAGCUCUCUCCAUUGUAUGUGACAAAGCCCUUCCAUCUUCUGAAGGCUCCCUGAGGAAUUGCUCUCUGCCUGUGCAGCUGUGUGUGGGCUGGCUCAAUUCCAAGCUCAGAGGAGGACAUCUGACGGUGGCAAGGCCAAGCAGACACCUACCUGUUGGUACCAGCUCUUACACAAUUGAUUUGUUAUAGUUUGGAUCUCAUGAGUUCCCCAGAAGCCAUACGUUGAAGGCUUGGUCCCUCUCUGGUAGUGUUGGAACUUCUAAGAAGGGGGACCUAGUAGACGCAAGGUCAUGGGACACAUGCUCUUCAGGGGGACAUUGUGGUCCCAGCCUUUUCUUGUCCUCCUCUGCUUUCUAGCUGCCGUGAGUUAAGCAGCCACGCCCUUCUUUUAUGCACUCCCUGGCAGAACUGUUCUUCCCACAGACCCCCAAAACAACAGAGCCAACUAAACAUGGACCCAGACUUCAAAAUCAUGAGCCAGAAUAUCCUUGCCCUCUCCCGUAUUUACUUCUCUUAAGCAAUUUUUUAGAGUGCUAUUAAAAAAAUGGUCGGUACAGGGUGGAAGAAACGUUACAGCGUGGAGAAGGGAUGCCCGUGUCUUCCUAGACCUCUUUUCCCCUCGACUUUUGGAGGGUUUCCUGUGUUGUAACUAUUCAUCAAUUAUUUUUAAACAACCUUCGUGUGAGGUGUCAAAAAGAUCCUCAGGAACCAAAAGUAAGACACACUGUCUUAAUUUAGGGCUUUACUGCUGUGAAGAGACACCAUGGCCAUGGCAACUCUUAUAAAGGAAAACAUCUGACUGUGGCUAGCUCACAGUGUCAGAGGCUCAGUCCAUUAUCGGGAGCAUGGCAGCUCGUAGGAUCACAAGGUGCUGGAGAGGAGCUGAGAGUUCUACAUCUGGACCUUGAGGCAGCAGGAAGAGGGAGUGACACUGGGCCUGGCUGGAGCUUCUGAAACCUCAAAGCCUGCCCCCCCUGCC